GGCGCGGCCCACACGGUAGCUCCUGCGACACCGCGACCUUGCUGGUGGCACUUGUUUGGCGCCCAGGCUUCCACCGACGGUGCAGGCAAAGGCCCUUAGGCUGUGGAAAUGGCGGCGGGGAGUAGCCAAGCCGGGGAGACCCGGCUGGGUUCAGUGUGACUUCUAUUAGCUGCUUCAAGCAACAGAACCAUAUCUGGGAAGUGCCCCUUCUUCAGUUUGAUGACAAUGAAGGGAUGAAAACAUCUGAAUGACAUGCUGCUCAGUGGGCUCCUGGACCCCUGAGCUUGGAUGCUUAGUGCUUGGACUGUCUGAGAGUGAAAACCCAGAGGAAGAUAGUUGGUGGCAGAACUACUGACAAUGAAACCAGUGGAAUCAGUGACCUUCAGUGAUGUAGCUAUCAACUUUACCAAGGAAGAGUGGGUCAUGCUGGACACAAACCAGAGACAGAUGUUCAGAGAUGUUAUGCUGGAGAAUAUCAAUCACCUGAUAUUCGUGGGGUAUCAGGUCUACACAUCAGAAGUGCUUUCACAGUCAGAACAAGGAGAACUGUGGAGAAAGGGAUUAAGGUUUCUCCAAGUACAGAGUCCAGGCAGGGAAAAUGACCGUAAAAAAGAAGAAAUGAUAAUCAUGCAACAUAUCUCUAAGAAGGACACAUCUACCAACCAAACAAAAAUUGCCAAGUUUCAGGAGGAUCUCUGCACAGCACAGUUUUCCAAGGGUAACUAGAAUACUGCACAGGUGCUCCCCUCCCACAAAUAUAAAAUAAAAUAUCAUUUAUUUCAAUGCAUAGCAGAGAAGGAGAGAGUUGGAGUGAUUCAUGGAGGAGGUAAAGAAGAGGAAAAGAAGAAAACAGUAACAGCAAACACAAGUUACUACUGUCUUCUCUUACACUGGAGAGGAAAGGCAGGGUUUCUGGUAAGGAUCCAGUCAUGUUUCAGGUGCAGGCAAGGGUGAGUGGGAACCUGAGAUCAUUAAGACCAUGGAAGUAAUGAUUUUGUUUUAUAACCAGGCCAUCUCUGUUCAUUUUUAGUUUAAAAUGUAGGAAAGCAAUUGCACCAGAGAAAAUCCCUUGAUAUGUAAACCUUGGCAUA